rnacentral:rRNA from 1 species
UACGAGGGGGGCAAGCGUUGUUCGGAAUUAUUGGGCGUAAAGGGUGCGUAGGUGGUUAGGUAAGUCCGAUGUGAAAUCUCCAGGCUCAACCUGGAAAUGGCAUUGGAUACUAUCUAGCUUGAGGAGUGGAGGGGGGACUGGAAUUCUCGGUGUAGCAGUGAAAUGCGUAGAUAUCGAGAGGAACACCAGUGGCGAAGGCGAGUCCCUGGACACUUCCUGACACUGAGGCACGAAAGCUAGGGGAGCAAACAGG